UACGUAGGGUGCAAGCGUUGUCCGGAAUUAUUGGGCGUAAAGAGCUCGUAGGCGGUCUGUCGCGUCGGCUGUGAAAUCCCGAGGCUCAACCUCGGGUCUGCAGUCGAUACGGGCAAACUAGAGUAUUGCAGGGGAGACUGGAAUUCCUGGUGUAGCGGUGGAAUGCGCAGAUAUCAGGAGGAACACCGGUGGCGAAGGCGGGUCUCUGGGCAGUAACUGACGCUGAGGAGCGAAAGCGUGGGGAGCGAACAGG
rnacentral:rRNA from 1 species